rnacentral:rRNA from 1 species
UAAUACGAAGGGGGCUAGCGUUACUCGGAAUUAUUGGGCGUAAAGCGUGCGUAGGCGGUUAUAUAAGUUGGGAGUGAAAGCCCAAGGCUCAACCUUGGAAUUGCUUUCAAAACUAUAUAACUUGAGUAUUGGAGAGGAUAGUGGAAUUCCUAGUGUAGAGGUGAAAUUCGUAGAUAUUAGGAGGAACACCAGAUGCGAAAGCGACUAUCUGGCCAAAUACUGACGCUGUUGCACGAAAGCGUGGGGAGCAAACAGG